CACUUUCUGUCCAGCUUGCUACAGUGACUAUGACCAGGCUUGAACAGCAAGGGGAGCUCCAGUCUAGUUGAAGACACUGCUGUCGAGAAGGAGGGGGUAGGUGGAUAGAUAAUAGAAAUCUCGGAGGGGCAGUGAUUCCUAGCUCUGGGUCUAGAGGUGGAUUGCUGCAGCUUCACCUGCCCUGUCCCACCUCUCUCUCAUCAUCGCUGAAGGUUGGCUUGCGAUCGACAGUUUUACGAAGCUGGACGGUGCAAGAAAAUAAAAGGGAACAACACUUCAGCAUCCAGCCGCUGGAAGAAGAGGGCAGAGUCGCUCCGCCAAGAAGCGAGAGGGCUAGCGGUCAUGUCAUCAACACAACUGGCCUGAUUAAAGGGAAGGGGUGAGAUCAAGAAAUGAAAUCUAACCACGUGGAGUAGAACAGAUUGGUUUUGAUGAACAACUUGGACUUUUCCCUGUGUGCAACAGCAUGAGGAUCUGCAGAAAGUCAAUCUUGGGAGCCAUGUAAUUCAAGAUAGGAAGAAAUACAGAGCUGUCCAGGAAAGAUCCAGCUUUCAAGAAAUAGGGAACCUGUUUGGAUUCACUUUGGCUUGCAGAAACCAAUUUGGAGAAUCAUCGCAUGUUCUGCUAGUGGAUCGCAGCAUCCAUUGCAGCCCUCUGAUAUCUCAGCAGUGCUGCUGAAGACUGUGUAACUCAAUCAGUGGAUUAUAAACCAAUUCUGAACCUUUGAGGACAAGACGACGGAAGCAUUCUAUAAGUAAGAUCUACCUCGAAGUGCGUCGCCACCAUGACCCUGGACUUUCUGAGUUACCUGUUGCUAGCAGCAAGUACUUUAUGUACAAUUGGAUUUACUCAGUCCCUUUCUAGGGAGGAUGAUGUUGUUCCAAGGAUUGUUUUCGAUUA